CCGCCUGGUCUUGUCGUUCAGUAUGGGGAGGGUACGGUUUUCCACGUGGCUUACUGUGAGCGGUCGAUGCCGUAAUUGCAUGCAAGAUUAAUUUGACUGAUGGUAUUUUGUGCGGAUAUUUGUGCCAAUUAACUACUGGCACAGAUACAUGUAUGAAGCUUUUGACUGGGGUGAUGGAUGUGUAUUUUUGGCGCUUCAACUGCCUAGGGAAGUGACGGCUGAAGUUCAAAGGGCUGGGUAGU
rnacentral:lncRNA from 1 species